AUAUGACAGAUACUCAAUAAAUACUAAGUGACUUUACAGGAUUCUCAUAACCACACAAUAAGGUUAGUGUCAACUACAGUACAGGUGAUAAAACUGAAAUAAAAAGUGGGUUUGGUGACUUGUCCAAAGUAAGAAAGUUAAUAAGAUAUAGAGCUUAAGUUCAUCAGAUUUGAAGGCUGUUGUUCUUUUAUUAAAUCAUAGCUGGCUUCAAUGAAAAGCAGCCACUUAAUAAAGUAUAAGAUGGACAAAGACUAAGACUGAAAAUGCCAGGAACAGAAACCGCUGUCAGAUGACAAUGACCCAGUUUCAGGGAAUAUGUUUGGAGAUAGAAGAACCAGUUUUAUGCCUAGGCAAGAAGAAUUCCAUGACCACCAAACUGAGCCCAUCUCCCAUGAAGAGCUGGAGAGAUUUGAGAAGCCACACCCAGCAACAUCCUCAGCCUGAUAUUACCAGUUGUUCCUUGGAAAAUGAAUUUCAUACUCCAGUAGUGUGACCAAACUACAUUUCCCCAUCAUGGUAGCCUAAGCCAGGAAGUGCAGAAAAGAGAAGGAUGUCAUUAAGUGGAAAAUAAUCAGGGCAUUUUGAGAGUGGUGUUUUUGGCCGUCGAGAUAAGUCAGUCAUUCUGAGGCAUGGAUGGACAGAGAGCAAUCACUGGCAAGAACGAGAAGAGAUGAAUAGGUCGGGCUCUCUCUGUGGGUAUAAAACUCUGAGCAGUUCACUUCAACUCAUUGGAUCUUGGUGGGCCUCAGACCCACUAAUUACUGUAGUUUCUUAAGGCCUCAAGGUUCAUUCUCUAAAGAAGAACUCCUGCCACAUUCAUUUAUAGCUAUCUUUUAAAAAUACCCAAAUCUGGCUGCACAGUGGCUCAUGCCUGUAAUCCCAGCACUUUGGGAGGGUGAAUUGGGAGGAUGACUUUAGACCAGCAUGGGCAACACAGCAAGACCCCAUCUCUACAAAAAAUAAAUAAAUAAAUAAAAAUUAGCUGGGUGAAGUGGUGUGUGCCUAUAGUUCCAGCUACUCAGGAGGCUGAGGCAGGAGAAUUGCUUGAGCCCAGGAGUUAGAGGAUGUAGUGAGUUGUAAUCAUGCCACUGACUCCAGCCUGGAUGACAGAGUGCCUCGUUUCCAAAAAAAAAAAAAGAAAUCCUCCUAUCAUGAGUCUUUCCUUUAGAAUAAUUUUGCUUUCUUAAAAUAUUAUUUUUCUAAGAAUUAAUAGCAAGUAAUAUAUAAUCCACACUUAUGUAUAUGUUAAAAGUGCCUGGAGUUUUUUCAGUUACUCUAAAUCCAGCUUUUUAUUUUAAUCUUCUAAAUCCACUCCGUUGUGUUGACACCAGAUAUGAUCAGGUCUUUAGAAGCUGAGUUGCACUAACAGAACAUGUAGCAACAUAUUAUUCCAAGAUAUUAGCUUAUAUUAAUACACAAUGAUUGAGUUGACUGAGUACUUCAAUCCCCUACCUGAGGAGACUGUGUAUAUUGGGUUCACAUACAGCAAUAUAUAAUGGAAGUAGAUGGUCUUUGGGGUAUCUUUCCUGCAACCUGGGAGUUAAUGAAUCAUUUUUCCUCAUUGUGGAAACAAUACACAUUUUUUGUUGUCUCAAAUAAAAUUAU